AAUAUUUUAUCAAUAGAAAUAGUUUUGUCAAUUGUUAAUGAAUACAUUAAUCGACGUGCAAAUUUACAACAACAACAAACACGUCGUACAUGCAUCCGUGUAUAACGUGUAUCGAUGAGUGUUGUACUUCUCCAAUUUGUUAUUUAACUGCGCUCCAUUCUCCUCGAUCACUCACAGUCAGUCGAACAGCAACAGCGAGACGACGAAGUAGACAGAAAAGAAAUAAACAAAUCGUUACCAUCCGACGACGUUGAACCGCUUCCAAGAGAUCUCGCAUUCAUCUUUCCUAUAUAACUUUUCGAAGAAAGCAAUGUUUCGUGAACAAGUGUUCAACUCGCCUCCAACAAACAAGAAUGAGAGCCUGAACAAAUACUUAUCGUCCUGCAUUUUUUAUUUAGAACAACAACAUCGGGAACAAAUACAGCACUUGAAACGCAAACAUGAAGAAAUCGCGAGAGAAUUCGCGACAACAGAAGCAACAUCGUCGUCGUUAGCCACGUCUUCACCCGCAAAACGCCCAAAAGUAAGCGGAUGGCAUGUAAAAUUAGCAUUAGAGAGUCCUACGCGCUCCGAUCAAGAAACCGACUCUGAAGACGGAUACAGCACUGUGCACGAAAUUGAAACGGAGGAAUGCCGUGACUCUGACGACACCGAAUCGCUGCCCGAGUCGGAACACACAGCAGCUUACGCCACAAUCGACGUCUUGGAAUACGAGAUUGAAACAACAUCCGACGAUAACUCCGACAAUGAGAGCUUUUGCACGGAAUCUUCGGCAACGGGAUCAGAUGCGCUCUAUUUAAGCACGUUGAACAACAUCGCGAUCGAAGCUCUUUACGCGUCAUCAUCAUCCGACGACGAAUUUAUCCAAGUUGACACGGAUGACUCGGAUGGAAAUGAUCCCGAACUGGGCCGUGCUGACUACUGGGAAUGCGUGAAAUGCAAAAAUAAGCAAAAUAAUCCGCUUUAUCGGUUCUGCGAACGCUGUUAUCAGGUUCGAAAAAGUCAUUUUCCGCCACGUCCCAAAAAGCUGCGUCAAAGACGUCGUUCAAAUCGGGGGAGAAAGCCAACUCCAACCAUCAGCAACAGCGACGACGCCACAAUUCUAUCGGAUUUCGCCGAUUCGCCCCAAAAGUUGAACAAAAGUUUCAAACGAAAGCAAGAAGACAGUGCCGGCGACUCAAUUUCAUCGUCAUCCGAAUCCGAAAUCGAGGAAAAUGAGGCAAAAAUCCAAAGGAAACGCGCCUCCCCCAAACGUCGUUGCAUCCGCAGCACUUCCUCCUCCCAAAAAAUCAAACAAGACUGCGCUUCGCCCGCGAAGCAACACUUAGCCCUUAAUUCCGUAGAAGUAACUGUAACGAAAAGUACGUCAUCCUCCUCGCUUGAAUCCGACUUUUCGCUAUCGAAACAAAGUACAAUCGCAGGUAAAGGUAUGUUUGACAGAGUCCUGUCGCAACACGAUUCCGGCAUAAGUUCGCAAGAAGCGGGCAGCAGUCAGGAAUCCAUGUAUUCCGUUGACCUCAAACCCGCGCCUUUGCAACGCGUCAAUGCGGAAAUGUCGAUAAAACGCUCGUACGACGACACUUCCGAGUCUUCCGAGGAACUUUUUGCCGGAAAUAAACGCUUCAAAGCUUCCGUCUUGGUUGCGACGUCGUCAAAUGUCUCGGAAUCGUCUGUCGUAUCGAAUGCGUCGUCAAUUUCCGGGGCAGCGUCACUGCGACAAACUGCCUCAGACUCGAGUUUACUGCAAAACGGUAACAAGGAACAGCCACGGGAUCAACAACUUUCGCGAACUUUGUCCCAAAACCUCGACGAUGACUCGAAAAUUUGCCGCCUGUGCUUCGACAAUGAGAAAAGUGCGGUUUUUGUGCACACGAAAAAGGCGUGCAGCGGUUGUUGCUACACGUGCGCCAUGAAAUCGUGGAAAAAGUGGAAAGAAUGUCCGUUUUGCAAGGAAAAGGCACGAAAUGUCAUUAAACUUUACUCGCAUUAAACUUUUUUUUUUAAUUUUCACUCGUACAGAAUGAAUCUCGUGCUAUUUUGAGCUCAAAAAAAUUGAAGAAUCCUCAAAAAUUACAUCUUUUCGAACAUUUUUUCGAAAAAAAUCGCAUUUGCAUGCACUGCAAGACGUAAAAAUUUCAUGCAAGGUCACCAAUUCAACGAUUUCUUACCAAAAAUUCGUUAAUGAAUAUUUUUUGAUGCUUAAUUUGAGAAAAGUAACGCAAAUUUUUCAUUUUUCUUAACUUUACUCACUUUAAAAUUCUCACUUUUAAUCAAAAUUUGCACUUUUUUAACACUUUUUGGCUUUCUUCACUCAUUUUCAUGCUAAAUUUCACGCCUUUAAUCAAAAUUUCGUAACUCUUUAGUGAUAUUCUAGUCGUAGCUCGUAACACAAUCACAUAAAAAAUGGUGAAUUAGGUUUAAACAAGUAAUCGUAGUAGUAGAUUUUAAGUUUUAGUACUAAGUUAUGAAUCCAAAGAUGCAAAAAAAUGAAGUAAUAUAUUAGAAUUUGAAUAGAAAUUAUCUUUUGAACACUUUAGUCCCGACUUUUUGGCUUCAAUUCUCUUCUCAGCUCGGGUUUCGGGUACUUUUGCAUGCUUUCUUUAACCUUUUCUUCUCAUUACUAACCGCUUUGCUUCACUUUUCUCUAACUAAUCAUCAAAAAAUAUUCAUUUUCACACAAAAGAUGUCGGAAUUGGGAGUCAGCUUGCAUGAAAUUACGUCUUAGCGUUCAUAAAAUUGCUGAAUUUCGUCCAAAUGCGGAAAGAUGGCGUUAAUUUUUGAUGGAUUCGUUUAAAAAAUGAGCUAAAAAUAGCUUUUAAGUCAUUCUGUUGAGUGAUGCGAGUCUGUUUUGCCUACAAAUCGUCCUAAAAAUGCAUCCACUCUACCAAAGAACCAUUUUUUUUUUCGUUUUUUAAUUUUUUUUAAUUAAAAAUUCGUUGUUGUUGUUGAAAAAUCCCAUGUUCCUAUUACCAAUUUUAAGUGUUAUUAAUCAGAGAGUUUAAUAUAUUUUUAUAAAUUAUAUCUUUCAUUAGUUUUAAGGACAAAAAAAAUAUUAACCGAUAACAAAACACGAAACUAAUUUUAAGUCAAAUUAAUUUUAAGGCUCGUUAGUCUGAAUUUCUUCACAAAAAAUUUUUUUCGAAGGAUUCAGGUCUAACGAAUUUCUGUACAUUAACCAAUUUUUGAAAUUCCACAGCAAAAAGUGCCUCACUUUGUAAAUAAGAAAAAAAAAAUAAUCAAAAAAAGUGGACAAAAAAAACUAAAAACAAAAAAUUUAUAGGUUUACACAAAAAAAGUGCAAUUUUAAGUUGAUAAUUGUUAAAAACUGUACAGAAAAAUAACUCGCAAAGUAUGAUUUGUAACGUUGUGAAAAAAAAAUCCCAAAAAAAAGAUGAAGCUGAUACCUUCCAAUUGGAUGAAAGAUGCAAACAACAAAGCUAAAAUUUAUGGGGAAAAUGGCUUCACAACGAGCAAAAAAUAACCAAACCAAGCAAAAAUUGUUGAAAUUUGUGGGAAUUAAAGAAAAAAAAAUUCUACAGAAGUAGG